rnacentral:piRNA from 1 species
UGCACCAUCAUAGUUGGCUUCUUGUUGUUU